UAUGAGAACGUCUCAGACUUGCAGUUUGUCGCUUCAGCAGACAGAAGACACAGAGGAGCAGGAAGACGUGGAGUAAAGUCCAGUCAGCUGGACUCUUCUGUGUAUGAGAACGUCUCAGACUUGCAGGUCGUCGCUGCAGCACAGACAGAAGACACAGAGAUCUACAAAAACCUGGAGUAAAGUCCAGUCAGUUGAACCAGAGGCUGGACUCACCUGAUGGAAGCAGAAAGUAGUACAACAGUGAAAUAUGACAGUGGAGAGAGAGGCUGUAGAGGAUGAUGUGGACGUUUUCAUGUUCAGUUUUCAGCAGCAGCAGCAGGUAGAAGUGAGCAGCACAGACAGUCAGUAACAGCAUGUAGCAGAAGCUUUGAGAAGAAUGUGCUGAUGGCAGCUUGAACUGAAUCAUGUCGAUGUGUCAAACAUGAUUGAUUGUUUAGAUCAGUUGAAUGUCAGGUGGUGUGUGUGACUCAAUUGAUUUAUAAUUUACUGAAUGUUGAACUAAUGCAAGCUUAUUUUUUUCUCUGUAGAGUUAGUUAUAUUACAGAUAUUUAGGAUUAGAGCUGUUAUGUGAAAUGUUAUUUUAAAUGUAAAAAUGCUGUAGACUGGAGAGAGAGACUGUAGAGGAUAAUGUGGACGUUUUCAGUAGCAGCAGGUGUGUGUGACUCAUAACUGUGUUUAUGUAUAUUGAGUGUUCUGUCUGAGGUAAUGCAGGCUACAUUAUUGUACUUUACUCCUUUUUCUUUUUCUAUAUUACAGAUAUUUAGGAUUAGAGCUGUUAUGCAAAAUGUUACUUUAAUUGUAUACAUAAUAAAUCACUUUUGAAGAAUCCUGAUUGGCUUCCUGGUUUGCACCUGUCCUGGCUCACAAAGCUCAUUAAGUCUGUUCAGAACAAAGACAUCAAACUGGAAGCAUCACAUUCACACCAUGUGCAGUA